rnacentral:rRNA from 1 species
GACGAACGCUGGCGGCGUGCUUAACACAUGCAAGUCGAACGGAAAGGCCCGGCUUUUGUGGGGUGCUCGAGUGGCGAACGGGUGAGUAACAUGUGAGUAACCUGCCCUUGACUUUGGGAUAACUUCUGGAAACUGGGGCUAUUACCGGAUAGGAGCUCCUGCUCCAUGGUGGGGGUUGGAAAGUUUCGGCGGUUGGGGAUGGACUCGCGGGUUAUCAGCUUCUUGGUGGAGUAGUGGUUUACCAAGGGUUUGACGGAUAGCCCGCCUGGGAGGGUGACCGGCCACAUUGGGACUGAGAUACGGACCAGACUCCUACGGGAGGCAGCAGUGGGGAAUAUUGCGCAAUGGGCGGAAGCCUGAUGCAGCGACGCCGCGUGCGGGAUGACGGCCUUCGGGUGGUAAACCGCUUUCGCCUGUGACGAAGCGUGAGUGACGGUAAUGGGUAAAGAAGCACCGGCUAACUACGUG